GACGAACGCUGGCGGCGUGCCUAACACAUGCAAGUCGAGCGGGGUUGAAGCGAGAGGUAACUCGAACUUCUACCUAGCGGCGGACGGGUGAGUAACGCGUGGGCAACCUGCCUCAAGGUCUGGGAUAACAGCCCGAAAGGGCUGCUAAUACUGGGUAUGCUUGUGGCCUCGCAUGGGGCUAUGAGCAAAGGGGAAACCCGCCUUGAGAUGGGCCCGCGUCCCAUCAGCUAGUUGGUGAGGUAACAGCUCACCAAGGCGACGACGGGUAGCCGGCCUGAGAGGGUGACCGGCCACACUGGGACUGAGACACGGCCCAGACUCCUACGGGGGGCAGCAGUGGGGGAUCUUGCACAAUGGGCGAAAGCCUGAUGCAGCGACGCCGCGUGAGCGAAGAAGGCCUUCGGGUUGUAAAGCUCUGUCUGGAGGGACGAAGGAAGUGACGGUACCUCCGGAGGAAGCCACGGCUAACUACGUGCCAGCAGCCGCGGUAAAUACACGUCGUACUACG
rnacentral:rRNA from 1 species